UACAGAGGUCCCGAGCGUUGUUCGGAUUUAUUGGGCGUAAAGGGUGCGUAGGUGGCUAAGUAAGUUGGAUGUGAAAUCCUGGGGCUCAACCUCAGAAUUGCAUUCAAUAUUGCUUAGCUAGAGAGCUGUAGAGGAGACUGGAAUUUACGGUGUAGCAGUGAAAUGCGUAGAUAUCGUAAGGAACGCCAGUGGCGAAAGCGAGUCUCUGGGCAGCAUCUGACACUGAGGCACGAAGGCCAGGGGAGCAAACGGG
rnacentral:rRNA from 1 species